CCAAGUCAUGAUCACAAAUGAGAAGACCUGAGGGAGUUGAUGAGCUGAGGCCAGGCUGGACCACUAGAAUGCAGCAAGAGCAGCUGAGCCCAGUGCUCUCUUCUCUAUUUGCCUCACAUUUCUUUCUGUUGAUUGUUGUCUCUGUGGAAAGUCAGAGCUGGGAGCAGGGGCUAUGAAGUUGGUGAGCCCCAAGCCACAUUUCCUUGUUUGUAAGAGAGUUGUGCACCCAGGGCACAGUCAAGACAGAAACUGAGGGUAGAAACAGAAGGGGUGUGGCAGCUAAGAUCAUCUUGUUCUCUCAUGAAAGGAGAAUUAUUCUGAAACUGCCUAUGGGAGACUUCUGAUCCCAUUUCGUAGGUAGAAAGGGGGGGGGGGUCACCUGUCAUCACUUAGCCUCAAGAGAGGAACCUUAAGCUCUAGCCUCUGUAGUUGGAGGUAGGAGUGAGAAGGGGGUGGGACCUGGCUCUCUGCGUCAAUUAGCAUAGUCUGCCUCAGGCGGAUCCUGAAUCCCAGGGAGCUGUAGAUGAGGUGCAGGCCAUGGCUAGCCUCAUGCCUCUGGUCACCCUAUCCAGACAGGAUGAGUGGCAGUAGUGGAGAUGGUCUGAUGUCUCAGCCUGGUGGGACUCGCUGCUGACUCCCCAGGCCCAACACUGGAGUAAUGGCUGUCUUUCUUUGAGAGCACAUAGGUGGAGCGUUAGGGGGAGGGAGAUAAAUGAGGCCAUACUAUUGCAAUCACUUGGAAAAAUAUACAAAAACUUCCCAAACUACAAGAUGCUUUCUACUGCCACCAGACAUCCUUUGGAGGUUUUCCUACCGGUUAAUAACCAGGGACUUGUUGGCAUUUGACAGAGCAUCUUGGGUUUCUUACAUAAAAUGUGGAAUUGUCAACAGUCAGACCCUUCAAUGGCCAAGGCUGUGGUGCACAGUUUCUAUCAGCUUGUAUAGGAUAUCCUGCCUGGUUUUGGCCUCAGGGGAGCAAUGGUGAGAUUUCAUAGCUCACUGUCUUCUGGUUGAAGCAAAGGGUACCAAACAGAGGUCAAGCUUGGACCUCCUCAGUGAAGCUGGGACAAUCCAUUCACGUGUGAGGAGUACAGUGGAUUUCUGAAAAGCUGCUUUCCGUGUCUUCUUAUAGGAUACGGUAACAGCUCCUUACUGGAAGAACAUUUUUAGAGCUGCCAUUGAUGGACACAGAGGGCGUUAAAACCCAGAGCACAUAAACCAGGAUGAGAAAAUUAAUCAGAAGAUGAAAGACAGCAGCUUUGGGGGACCCUGGCUGAGCCCUCCUGCAUGCUCCUGGGACACCCUUUCAGACCAGCAGCACCAUCCCAUGCAGGGGCUGUGAUGAUGACUUAUAAUGUAGACAUCACCUCUGCUGGAGGACAGCCUUCGGAUCUGCUGAGUCCUUUCAUAACAAAUAAAACCAAACACG
rnacentral:lncRNA from 1 species